CCUACGGGAUGCAGCAGUGAGGAAUAUUGGUCAAUGGACGAAAGUCUGAACCAGCCAAGUCGCGUGAAGGCUGACUGCCCUAUGGGUUGUAAACUGCUUUUAUAUGGGAAUAAACUUUUCCACGUGUAGGUUUUUGUAUGUACCAUAUUAAUAAGGAUCGGCUAACUCCGUGCCAGCAGCCGCGGUAAUACGGAGGAUCCGAGCGUUAUCCGGAUUUAUUGGGUUUAAAGGGAGCGUAGGUGGUUGGUUAAGUCAGUUGUGAAAGUUUGCGGCUCAACCUUAAAAUUGCAGUUGAAACUGGCAGUCUUGAGUACAGUAGAGGUGGGCGGAAUUCGUGGUGUAGCGGUGAAAUGCUUAGAUAUCAUGAAGAACUCCGAUUGCGAAGGCAGCUUACUGGACUGCAACUGACACUGAGGCUCGAAAGUGUGGGUAUCAAACAGGAUUAGAUACCCUAGUAGUC
rnacentral:rRNA from 1 species